GUUGGCCUAGUAGGUCUGGAUAGACUGGAGGGCUAAAAGAGACCCUCAAUCUCAUCUGGGCCAUGCUCCUCCUUUGGAAGAAAGGGUAACUGAGGCCAAGAUCACACAAUCAAUAAGAGGCAGAUCCAGGCCUGGAGCCCUGGUCUCUCUUGCCUGCCAGGCUAGCUGGCUUUCAUCUUGGCCUCCUCCCUCUUCUCACAGCCAAAUUUCAAGGGCCAAAGCUCCCCAAAAGCAGAUGGCCAGGUUUCCCAUAGAGCUAGGGAUUGUGUGGGAGCCUUCAGUUAGGGUUAAGUAAAAAGCAAACCCAGUCCUCCCCCUCCAGCUUUCUCCUGGCCUGAGAUCCACAGUUCAAAAAGUGACCCUGAGUACAGCCCCAGCCUUCCUUGAAUGAGAUUUGGAAAUAAUGGAAAUGACUCCCAACUGCUUCACUCAGAGCCCUACUUGAAUCUGGGGCUUGGAAGUGUUAGCCUAGACCAGCUCAGUGUGGUUCUGCUCACCAUGGAGAGACAGGUUCUCCGUCAACCUGCCCAGAUCAAUCUCAUGGACAUCGAUCCCUGAGGUUAUCCCCUGCUGCCAACUGCUUGAGGAGGAAGAAGGUCAAUGGGAUUCUGCCCACCUGGAAAAGAGGGCUUCUCCCCCAACCUGCACACAUCAGCCUCAUGGAAAUCUGGCCUUGAGAUUGUCCCUUGCUUCCAACAACCUGAAGAGGCCAGAAACAGAAGCCACAGCCAAUGGUUUGUCAAAAAGAGGCCAGGAAUAGAGGAGAGCAAUUUCACUAGGAGAGCUAUAAACACUUCCUCAACGGGUCCAGACUGAUUGGAACCAAUAUUGUAAUUAAUAAAAUUC
rnacentral:lncRNA from 1 species